CCUACGGGAGGCAGCAGUGGGGAAUAUUGCGCAAUGGGCGAAAGCCUGACGCAGCGACGCCGCGUGAGGGAUGAAGGUCUUCGGAUCGUAAACCUCUGUCAGCAGGGAAGAACGGUCACUGUGCUAAUCAGCAGUGCAUUGACGGUACCUGCAAAGGAAGCACCGGCUAACUCCGUGCCAGCAGCCGCGGUAAUACGGAGGGUGCGAGCGUUAAUCGAAAUUACUGGGCGUAAAGCGCUCGUAGACGGUAUGUCAAGUCAAGUGUGAAAUCCCCGCGCUCAACGUGGGAACUGCAUUUGAAACUGGCAAACUUGAGUGUAUUAGAGGAGAGAGGAAUUCCAGGUGUAGGAGUGAAAUCCGGAGAUAUCUGGAGGAACAUCAGUGGCGAAGGCGACUAUCUGGCACAUAACUGACGCUGAGGAGCGAAAGCGUGGGUAGCAAACAGGAUUAGAUACCCCAGUAGUC
rnacentral:rRNA from 1 species